GACGUAGGAGGCGAGCGUUGUCCGGAUUCAUUGGGCGUAAAGAGCACGCAGGCGGUUUGGCAAGUCGGAUGUGAAAACCAGAAGCUCAGCUUCUGGCCUGCAUCCGAUACUGCCCGACUAGAGGUAGGUAGGGGAGAUCGGAAUUCCUGGUGUAGCGGUGAAAUGCGCAGAUAUCAGGAGGAACACCGGUGGCGAAGGCGGAUCUCUGGGCCUUACCUGACGCUCAGGUGCGAAAGCUAGGGGAGCGAACAGG
rnacentral:rRNA from 1 species